CAGUCGCCGCGGGAAUACAGAGGGUGCGAGCGUUAAUUGGAUUUACUGGGCGUAAAGCGUGCGUAGGCGGCUUCUUAAGUCGGAUGUGAAAUCCCUGAGCUUAACUUAGGAAUUGCAUUCGAUACUGGGAAGCUAGAGUAUGGGAGAGGAUGGUAGAAUUCCAGGUGUAGCGGUGAAAUGCGUAGAGAUCUGGAGGAAUACCGAUGGCGAAGGCAGCCAUCUGGCCUAAUACUGACGCUGAGGUACGAAAGCAUGGGGAGCAAACAGGAUUAGAUACCCCCGUAGUCCCUGUCUCUUAUAC
rnacentral:rRNA from 1 species